rnacentral:lncRNA from 1 species
CAGGUGCCCCAAAACUACCACCAGGACUACAGAACCAAAAAGGUGGCCAAACUUUCCACAGGAUAUUAUUAAAGCUGAUCUUGAUAGUGGGAGAGCAAGCUGAUUGUAAUGGAAUAUAUAUAAUACCUAGACAAUGUAUAAAUCUUGUUCUUAUUGGAACUGUAAAAACUAAACGCUGACAAAACUGACUCCCAUAUUUUUGACUUCCUUGAGACACAUUACCUAAAUAAGCAGGUAAAAUACAUUUUUAAAAUAGAUACUCAUGUAGUAAACUUGUGCAAGAGAGGGGUUCUGCAAUCUGGCAUUGGAGUUUCUUUGACAAGCACACCUGGGAGAUGGUGACAAUGAGAGUGAA